AUUGAACGCUGGCGGAAUGCUUUACACAUGCAAGUCGAACGGCAGCACGGACUUCGGUCUGGUGGCGAGUGGCGAACGGGUGAGUAAUGUAUCGGAACGUGCCCAGUCGUGGGGGAUAACGUAGUGAAAAUUACGCUAAUACCGCAUACGAUCUAUGGAUGAAAGCGGGGGAUCGCAAGACCUCGCGCGAUUGGAGCGGCCGAUAUCAGAUUAGGUAGUUGGUGGGGUAAAGGCCCACCAAGCCACCGAUCUGUAGCUGGACUGAAAGGAGGACCAACCACACUGAAACUGAGCGACGGUGCAGACUGCUACGGGAGGCAGCAGUGGGGAAUUUUGGACAAUGGGCUAAAGCCUGAUCGAGCCAUUCCGCGUGCAGGAUGAAGGCCCUCGGGUUGUAAACUGCUUUUGUACAGAACGAAAAGGUUUCUACUAAUACUAGGAGCUCAUGACGGUACUGUAAGAAUAAGCACCGGCUAACUACGUGCCAGCCGCCGCGGUAA
rnacentral:rRNA from 1 species